rnacentral:rRNA from 1 species
AAUGAACGCUGGCGGCGUGCCUAAUACAUGCAAGUCGAGCGAGCAAUUUUAGCAGAAUACCCUCGGGUAGGAAGCUAAGAGCGCGAGCGGCGGAUGGGUGAGUAACACGUGGGCAACCUACCCUUUAGCUGGGGAUACCACUUGGAAACAGGUGCUAAUACCGAAUAAGAAGCAAGAGCGCAUGCUCAAGCUAUGAAAGGCGGCUUUAAGCUGUCACUAAAGGAUGGGCCCGCGGUGCAUUAGCUAGUUGGUAAGGUAACGGCUUACCAAGGCGAUGAUGCAUAGCCGAGUUGAGAGACUGAACGGCCACAUUGGGACUGAGACACGGCCCAAACUCCUACGGGAGGCAGCAGUAGGGAAUCUUCCACAAUGGACGCAAGUCUGAUGGAGCAACGCCGCGUGAGUGAAGAAGGUUUUCGGAUCGUAAAGCUCUGUUGUUGGUGAAGAAGGAUAAGGAUAGUAACUGAUUCAUAUUUGACGGUAAUCAACCAGAAAGUCACGGCUAACUACGUGCCAGCCGCCGCGGUAA